rnacentral:rRNA from 1 species
UACGUAGGUGGCAAGCGUUGUCCGGAUUUACUGGGCGUAAAGAGCGCGCAGGCGGUCGUUCAAGUCGCGUGUGAAAGCCCCCGGCUCAACUGGGGAGGGUCACGCGAUACUGAUCGACUCGAAGGCAGGAGAGGGAAGUGGAAUUCCCGGUGUAGCAGUGAAAUGCGUAGAGAUCAUGAGGAAGACCAGUGGCGAAGGCGGGUCUCUGGACAGUUCCUGACACUGAGACACGAAGGCCAGGGGAGCAAACGGG